GAUGAACGCUGGCGGCGUGCCUAACACAUGCAAGUCGAGCGGGAUUGUGGAGUAGCUUGCUACGAAGCAAUCUAGCGGCGGACGGGUGAGUAACGCGUGGGCAACCUGCCCUAUACAGGGGGAUAACACACCGAAAGGUGUGCUAAUACCCCAUAACACCGAUGCUUCGCAUGGAGUGCCGGUCAAAGAUUUAUCGGUAUAGGAUGGGCCCGCGUCUGAUUAGCUAGUUGGUGAGGUAAAGGCUCACCAAGGCGACGAUCAGUAGCCGACCUGAGAGGGUGAUCGGCCACACUGGAACUGAGACACGGUCCAGACUCCUACGGGAGGCAGCAGUGGGGAAUAUUGCACAAUGGGGGAAACCCUGAUGCAGCAACGCCGCGUGAGUGAUGACGGCCU
rnacentral:rRNA from 1 species